UCUCCGUUGGUGAACCAGCGGAGGGAUCAUUACCGAGUUUACAACUCCCAAACCCAAUGUGAACGUUACCAAACUGUUGCCUCGGCGGGGUCACGCCCCGGGUGCGUCGCAGCCCCGGAACCAGGCGCCCGCCGGAGGAACCAACCAAACUCUUUCUGUAGUCCCCUCGCGGACGUAUUUCUUACAGCUCUGAGCAAAAAUUCAAAAUGAAUCAAAACUUUCAACAACGGAUCUCUUGGUUCUGGCAUCGAUGAAGAACGCAGCGAAAUGCGAUAAGUAAUGUGAAUUGCAGAAUUCAGUGAAUCAUCGAAUCUUUGAACGCACAUUGCGCCCGCCAGUAUUCUGGCGGGCAUGCCUGUCCGAGCGUCAUUUCAACCCUCGAACCCCUCCGGGGGAUCGGCGUUGGGGAUCGGGACCCCUCACACGGGUGCCGGCCCCUAAAUACAGUGGCGGUCUCGCCGCAGCCUCUCCUGCGCAGUAGUUUGCACAACUCGCACCGGGAGCGCGGCGCGUCCACGUCCGUAAAACACCCAACUUUCUGAAAUGUUGACCUCGGAUCAGGUAGGAAUACCCGCUGAACUUAA
rnacentral:rRNA from 1 species